rnacentral:misc_RNA from 1 species
GAUGAAGAACGUAGUGAAAUGCGAUAAGUAGUGUGAAUUGCAGAAUUCAGUGAAUCAUCGAAUCUUUGAACGCACAUUGCGCCCCCUGGCAUUCCGGGGGGCAUGUCUGUUCGAGCGUCAUCAAAACCAUUCGAGACUGGGGUUGAAACCCCCGGCUCGGUCUUGGGCAUGAGGGAUCAAAACCCUCGGCCUGCAAUCCAGCGGCAGACUCCCAGCGUAGCAGUAGCGUGAUAGAAUCGUCAAUCGCAGAUGCGCGACGGCGACGUCUAGCCAUAACCCCCAAAUCUGUCAUCAAUUUUGACCUCGGAUCAGGUAGGGAUACCCGCUGAACUUAAGCAUAUCAAUAAGCGGAGGA